rnacentral:rRNA from 1 species
GACGAACGCUGGCGGCGUGCUUAACACAUGCAAGUCGAACGAUGAACCCGGAGCUUGCUCCGGCGGAUUAGUGGCGAACGGGUGAGUAACACGUGAGUAACCUGCCCUUGACUCUGGGAUAACUGCUAGAAAUGGUAGCUAAUACCGGAUACGACCCUCGGCGGCAUCGCCAGGGGGUGGAAAGAAUUUCGGUCAAGGAUGGACUCGCGGCCUAUCAGCUAGUUGGUGAGGUAACGGCUCACCAAGGCGACGACGGGUAGCCGGCCUGAGGGGGUGACCGGCACACUGGGACUGAGACACGGCCCAGACUCCUACGGGAGGCAGCAGUGGGGAAUAUUGCACAAUGGGCGCAAGCCUGAUGCAGCAACGCCGCGUGAGGGAUGACGGCCUUCGGGUUGUAAACCUCUUUUAGUAGGGAAGAAGCGAAAGUGACGGUACCUGCAGAAAAAGCACCGGCUAACUACGUGCCAGCCGCCGCAGUAA